rnacentral:rRNA from 1 species
AGGUCAAGCUACAAAGGGCGCAUGGUGAAUGCCUUGGCAUCAGGAGCCGAUGAAGGACGCGAUAAGCUGCGAUAAGCUUCGGGUAGACGCACAUAGUCAGAGAUCCGAAGAUUUCCGAAUGAGGAAACUCACAUGGGAAACCCCAUGUAUCAUAAAGUGAAUACAUAGCUUUAUGAAGGUAAACCCAGGGAACUGAAACAUCUAAGUACCUGGAGGAAGAGAAAGAAAAAUCGAUUUUCUUAGUAGCGGCGAGCGAAAAGGAAAGAGCCCAAACCAGAGAUUUAUCUCUGGGGUUGCGGACAGAACAUAACGAGAAAUCAUAGUUAAUUGAACACAACUGGAAAGUUGGACCAUAGUGGGUAAUAGUCCCGUAAGUGAAAACUAUGAUAAUCAGUUCUGCACCAGAGUACCACGAGACACGUGAAACCUUGUGGGAAGCAGGGAGGACCACCUCCCAAGGCUAAAUACUACCUGAUGACCGAUAGUGAAGCAGUACCGUGAGGGAAAGGUGAAAAGAACCCCGGGAGGGGAGUGAAAUAGAACCUGAAACCAUGUGCCUACAACCGAUCAGAGCACCUUAUGUGUGUGAUGAUGUGCUUUUUGUAGAACGAGCCAACGAGUUACGGUAUGUAGCGAGGUUAAGUACUUAAGGUACGGAGCCGAAGGGAAACCGAGUCUUAAUAGGGCGACUAGUUGCAUGCUGUAGACCCGAAACCGGGUGACCUAUCCAUGGCCAGGUUGAAGCGAGGGUAAAACCUCGUGGAGGACCGAACCACGUUGCUGUUGAAAAAGCAUGGGAUGAGCUGUGGAUAGCGGAGAAAUUCCAAUCGAACUCGGAUAUAGCUGGUUCUCCUCGAAAUAGCUUUAGGGCUAGCGUCGGAAAAUGUGAGUAGUGGAGGUAGAGCACUGAAUAGGCUAGGGGGCAUAGCGCUUACCGAACCUUAUCAAACUCCGAAUGCCACAUACUAUCAGUUCGGCAGUCAGACUAUGAAAGAUAAGUUCCAUGGUCAAAAGGGAAACAGCCCAGAUCGUCAGCUAAGGUCCCAAAGUGUAAGUUAAGUGGAAAAGGAUGUGGGAUUUCUAAGACAACUAGGAUGUUGGCUUAGAAGCAGCCACUCAUUAAAAGAGUGCGUAAUAGCUCACUAGUCAAGAGAUCCUGCGCCGAAAAUGUCCGGGGCUCAAACUUACCACCGAAGCUACGGGUUCACGUUUUACGUGAGCGGUAGAGGAGCGUCGUAAUCGGGCUGAAGUCGUACCGUAAGGAGCGGUGGACUGAUUACGAGUGAGAAUGUUGGCAUUAGUAGCGAGAUGUAGGCGAGAAUCCUACAGGCCGAAUAUCUAAGGUUUCCUGAGUAAAGUUUGUCUUCUCAGGGUUAGUCGGGACCUAAGGCGAGGCCGAAAGGCGUAGUCGAUGGACAAUUGGUUGAUAUUCCAAUACCACUAUAAUCGUUAUUAUCGAUGGUGUGACGGAGAAGGAUAGGAUGUGCUAGCUAUUGGAUGCUAGUCUAAGCGUUUAGGGAGUUGGGAUUGGCAAAUCCGUUCCAACAAUUCUGAGGCGUGAUGGGGAAGGUUCUACGGAACCGAAGUAUCUGAUUCCAUGCUUCCAAGAAAAGCAUCUAGAAAGAGAAGUAGUGCCCGUACCGCAAACCGACACAGGUAGAUGAGGAGAGAAUCCUAAGGCCGACGGAAGAAUUGCAGUUAAGGAACUAGGCAAAUUGACCCCGUAACUUCGGGAGAAGGGGUGCCUGAGAAAUCAGGCCGCAGAGAAUAGGCACAAGCAACUGUUUAACAAAAACACAGGUCUCUGCUAAAGCGAAAGCUGAUGUAUAGGGGCUGACGCCUGCCCGGUGCUGGAAGGUUAAGGGGAACACUUAGCAAAGUUUUGCGAAGGUGUGAACUUAAGCCCCAGUAAACGGCGGCCGUAACUAUAACGGUCCUAAGGUAGCGAAAUUCCUUGUCAGGUAAGUUCUGACCCGCACGAAUGGCGUAAUGACUUGUGCACUGUCUCAACUGCAAAUCCGGCGAAGUUGUAGUGCGAGUGAAGAUGCUCGCUACCCGCGAUUGGACGGAAAGACCCCGUAGAGCUUUACUGUAGCUUAGCAUUGAAUUUCGGUAUUGUCUGUACAGGAUAGGUGGGAGACUGGGAAACUAGGGCGUCAGCCUUGGUGGAGUCGUUGUUGGGAUACCACCCUGAUAGUAUUGAAGUUCUAACUGGAUGCCAUGAAACUGGUGACAGGACAUUGUUAGGUGGGCAGUUUGACUGGGGCGGUCGCCUCCUAAAAUGUAACGGAGGCGCCCAAAGGUUCCCUCAGAACGGUCGGAAAUCGUUCGAAGAGUGUAAAGGCAGAAGGGAGCCUGACUGCGACACCUACAAGUGGAGCAGGGACGAAAGUCGGGCUUAGUGAUCCGGUGGUACCUCGUGGGAGGGCCAUCGCUCAACGGAUAAAAGCUACCUCGGGGAUAACAGGCUGAUCUCCCCCAAGAGUUCACAUCGACGGGGAGGUUUGGCACCUCGAUGUCGGCUCGUCGCAUCCUGGGGCUGAAGUAGGUCCCAAGGGUUGGGCUGUUCGCCCAUUAAAGCGGCACGCGAGCUGGGUUCAGAACGUCGUGAGACAGUUCGGUCCCUAUCCGUCGCGGGCGUAGGAAAUUUGAGAGGAGCUGUCCUUAGUACGAGAGGACCGGGAUGGACUGACCUAUGGUGUACCAGUUGUUUCGCCAGAAGCAUAGCUGGGUAGCUAAGUCGGGAAGGGAUAAACGCUGAAAGCAUCUAAGUGUGAAGCCCACCUCAAGAUGAGAUUUCCCAUAGCAUAAGCUAGUAAGACCCCUUGAAGACUACAAGGUUGAUAGGUCAGAGGUGUAAGUAUGGUAACAUAUUUAGCUGACUGAUACUAAUAGGUCGAGGGCUUGACCAAU